rnacentral:lncRNA from 1 species
AUGUCUGAUUCAACGCCUCAUACGGCAAGUACGUCCAGUACGUCCAGUACGUUAAGUACAACCUCGGUCAACCUCGCUAAGGCUAUAGAGAUGCAGAUCCAAGCAUACCGGAGCGGGGACGUCUCCCUCGGGGAUUCUCUAUCGCCAACGAUCGACCUCCUUCUGGAAGCCGCAACGGAGCGGGCCAGAGCGCUGAAACGGACUAACUCAUCGGCGACUAGUAGUGACGCAAACACGAUGCCUGGAACUUCAUCCGCGACCGACGGGUCCCCCGUAGCGGCAUCGACGCCGAAAAAGGCGAGGCUCCAGGAGGAGCAGAAGACGUUGCCCGAGAAGUUGCCCGAGAAGUUGCCCGAGUCCGACAGUGAGAAGUUGCCAGAGUCCGACGGGGAGGAAGUCGCCAAGUCGGACGUCCAAGAAGCAAAGGAAAACGCAGCCGAGGAGGCGGUAAGAGUGCGGACGCAUGAUUACGUCGGUCUUUACCCUCAACUAGGGAAGGAGACAGCGAGGAGGCUCGGACUCGAGGUAGAGGAAGUGCAUCACCACGACUACGCGAACCAUCCGGCAGGGCGCCACGCGGUCGCGGUCGCGGCCGUGGUGGUCUUCAUCAGAAGGCCGGAGGAUGAGCCUCUCACAUUGCCAACGCGCGAGGAGACAACACUCCUGAUGAUAAGGAACAUCCGGACAGGGACGGAGGUGUUCUCCGGGAGACGGAUCCCAACCCGAGUGGACUGCCAAACCCCUUACACGGUGUACGACAUCGCGGGCGUCAGUCUGAACGAAGAAGUCGCGGGCGUUGUGUCGAACGUGAACCGGUGCAUCCGUAGAGCAAAGAGGAUGCGGGCCCUCCGGAUGGCUGUCUCCCCGGCGUAUGUAAACGGGGAUGACUCUGAAUUCUUUUUGAAGCAAGUCCAGCGGAUGUUGAGGGUAAUGGACACGUGCGGAGACCGUGCAAUUCUUCACCUCAGCGUAGAGGGGAUGGACGGAGACGUCGUUCCGGAUCUGCGAACAUCAUGUGUGUCAACAUGGGCGCCGGACGACUCGUUGGAAGCCGCGAUGGCGGAAAUGUCGUUCGAGGACGGAAAUGUGCCGCCGAACGAUGAGGUAGCCGUAGCUUCCACAUCGAAUGAGGACCACGCCGACGGAAAUCCGCCGCCGAACGAUGAGGUAGCCGUAGCUUCCACAUCGAAUGAGGACCACGCCGACGGAAGUCUGCCGCCGGAUGAUGGGGGAGCCGCAGCUUCGACACCGGAGAACGAGACCGCCGACGGAAAUCCACCGCCGAAUGAUGAGGGAGCCGUAGCUUCUAAUUCGAAGGCAAGUAAAGUAUCGUCAGCGUAA